rnacentral:rRNA from 1 species
GAUCAUGGCUCAGGAUGAACGCUGGCGGCGCGCCUAACACAUGCAAGUCGAACGGACGAUGAAAAGCUUGCUUUUCAAAGUUAGUGGCGGACGGGUGAGUAACGCGUGGGUAACCUGCCUCAUACAGGGAAUAGCAGCCGGAAACGGCUGAUAAAACCGCAUAAGCGCACAGUGCCGCAUGGCACAGUGUGAAAAACUCCGGUGGUAUGAGAUGGACCCGCGUCUGAUUAGCUGG